ACGGGAGGCAGCAGUGGGGAAUAUUGCACAAUGGGCGCAAGCCUGAUGCAGCGAUGCCGCGUGAGGGAAGAAGGUUUUCGGAUUGUAAACCUCUGUCAACAGGGUCGAAAAUGACGGUACCUGUGAAGGAAGCUCCGGCUAACUACGUGCCAGCAGCCGCGGUAAUACGUAGGGAGCAAGCGUUAUCCGGAAUUACUGGGUGUAAAGGGAGUGUAGGCGGGACUGUAAGUCAGAUGUGAAAUAUGCCGGCUCAACUGGCAGACUGCAUUUGAAACUUACGGUCUUGAGUGGAGUAGAGGUAAGCGGAAUUCCCAGUGUAGCGGUGAAAUGCGUAGAUAUUGGGAGGAACACCAGUGGCGAAGGCGGCUUACUGGGCUCUUACUGACGCUGAGGCACGAAAGUGUGGGGAGCAAACAGGAUUAGAUACCCUGGUA
rnacentral:rRNA from 1 species